rnacentral:lncRNA from 1 species
UCUCCCGAGUCAGAGAGCUCUAGCAUGCAAGGUUACUUGGCUAGUUCCUAAUGCACUGAUGGGAGCCAUCCCAUUAAGGACGACUUCUACUCGAAACAUGACCCUCUGGACUUCAGGUGCCUCAUUUAUCAGGAAAAGGCAUUGAUUGGAUAUAUUUAUGUGACUGCGGGCAUUUGUGGCUGUCGAGUCCUUGACCAUAAUGUUAUAUGUAAUGGGAACUAUCUUAUAAACUUGAAAAAAUAAAGUUUUUAUUUUCU